AUUAUGUCUUGACCCAAUGUUUUGAAAUGCACGUUUCCUAUCUUAUCUUUCUAAAACAGGAGGACACUUUCGUUUGAACAAACAAUUUUGUAUUCAUACCAAAGCUUAUACGCGUAGUUCAGUAAAGAAAGGCACCGGAAUUAUGCUGAAAGCUUUCUUCAAAAGAACCGUUUGGUUGCUAUGGUUACUAGAUGUUACAUUCGCAGACUAUGACUGUAUGUGUAAUUAUAACGUAGAGACACCUGUUUACGCCACCGCUGUUACCGGUAGUCAACCACUGGGGUACCUUUACGAAUUUGAUUGCAAACCGUUAGCCGCAAAUACACAGAACACAAAUAACUUUUAUACAGUGCAAUUUGAGAAACAGCUUGGUUAUGUUGAGAAGAACGCCCAAGAAAAAAUUCAGAUGUGCCCAGGACAUCCCCCGCGUGCUGAUUUAA